GACGAACGCUGGCGGCGUGCCUAAUACAUGCAAGUAGAGCGCUGAAGGAGGAGCUUGCUUCUCUGGAUGAGUUGCGAACGGGUGAGUAACGCGUAGGUAACCUGCCUGGUAGCGGGGGAUAACUAUUGGAAACGAUAGCUAAUACCGCAUAAGAGUAGAUGUUGCAUGACAUUUGCUUAAAAGGUGCAAUUGCAUCACUACCAGAUGGACCUGCGUUGUAUUAGCUAGUUGGUGGGGUAACGGCUUACCAAGGCGACGAUACAUAGCCGACCUGAGAGGGUGAUCGGCCACACUGGGACUGAGACACGGCCCAGACUCCUACGGGAGGCAGCAGUAGGGAAUCUUCGGCAAUGGACGGAAGUCUGACCGAGCAACGCCGCGUGAGUGAAGAAGGUUUUCGGAUCGUAAAGCUCUGUUGUAAGAGAAGAACGAGUGUGAGAGUGGAAAGUUCACACUGUGACGGUAUCUUACCAGAAAGGGACGGCUAACUACGUG
rnacentral:rRNA from 1 species